rnacentral:rRNA from 1 species
AUUGAACGCUGGCGGCAGGCCUAACACAUGCAAGUCGAGCGGAUGAAGGGAGCUUGCUCCUGGAUUCAGCGGCGGACGGGUGAGUAAUGCCUAGGAAUCUGCCUGGUAGUGGGGGAUAACGUCCGGAAACGGGCGCUGAUACCGCAUACGUCCUGAGGGAGAAAGUGGGGGAUCUUCGGACCUCACGCUAUCAGAUGAGCCUAGGUCGGAUUAGCUAGUUGGUGGGGUAAAGGCCUACCAAGGCGACGAUCCGUAACUGGUCUGAGAGGAUGAUCAGUCACACUGGAACUGAGACACGGUCCAGACUCCUACGGGAGGCAGCAGUGGGGAAUAUUGGACAAUGGGCGAAAGCCUGGUCCAGCCAUGCCGCGUGUGUGAAGAAGGUCUUCGGAUUGUAAAGCACUUUAAGUUGGGAGGAAGGGCAGUAAGUUAAUACCUUGCUGUUUUGACGUUACCAACAGAAUAAGCACCGGCUAACUUCGUG